GACGAACGCUGGCGGCGUGCCUAAUACAUGCAAGUAGGACGCAGUUGCGAACGGGUGAGUAACGCGUAGGUAACUACCUAUUAGAGGGGGACAACUAUUGGAAACGAUAGCAAAUACCGCAUACUAGUAGAUGGACAUGCGUUGUAUUAGCUAGUAGGUAGGGAAAUGGCCUACCUAGGCAACGAUGAAUAGCCGAUCUGAGAGGAUGAUCAGCCACACUGGGACUGAGACACGGCCCAGACUCCUACGGGAGGCAGCAGUAGGGAAUAUUCGGCAAUGGACGAAAGUCUGACCGAGCAACGCCGCGUGAGUGAAGAAGGUUUUCGGAUCGUAAAGCACUGUUGUUAGUGAGGAGGUAUCUACCCAGAAAGCCACGGCUAACUACGUGCCAGCAGCCGCGGUAAUAC
rnacentral:rRNA from 1 species